rnacentral:guide_RNA from 1 species
AUCAAACAAACAAAAUAGUAGAAAGC